GCGUAAUAUUUAUGGAAUUAAAGAAAACAAAAUAUUCUUAGAAAAUUAGCCAUUUACGUGCAAAAAACUGCACAAACCAGCACACAAUCACUGUUAAGUACACGACCGUGUACUAAGACCGGGAGUGCGAUUGGGCUAACGCUGUUCAUGUCCACCGGUGAUCAGACGGGAGCAGAGGAUGGAAAUUACAAUGAAGAAAGAAAGGGAG